rnacentral:rRNA from 1 species
UGGGGGAUAUUGCACAAUGGGCGAAAGCCUGAUGCAGCGACGCCGCGUGGGGGAUGAAGGCCUUCGGGUUGUAAACUUCUUUUGCUCUGAACAAGGCGCACCAUGGGGUGUGUUGAGUGUAGGGGUUGAUUAGCGCCGGCUAACUACGUGCCAGCAGCCGCGGUAAUACGUAGGGCGCGAGCGUUGUCCGGAAUUAUUGGGCGUAAAGGGCUUGUAGGUGGCUGGUUACGUCUGUCGUGAAAGCUCAUGGCUUAACUGUGGGUUUGCGGUGGGUACGGGCUGGCUUGAGUGCAGGAGGGGAGGCUGGAAUUCCUGGUGUAGCGGUGGAAUGCGCAGAUAUCAGGAGGAAUACCGGUGGCGAAGGCGGGUCUCUGGGCUGUUACUGACACUGAGGAGCGAAAGCAUGGGGAGCGAACAGG